rnacentral:misc_RNA from 1 species
GGAAAGCUGGUUAUUGUUGAAGCUUGCAAGAAAGGAUUUUACAACUUUGGAAAGCAGGGGAUUCUUUGUCACAAUCUUGUUGAUUUGUUGAGACAACUCAGUAGAGCAUUUGACAAUGCAUACGAUGAUCUCAUGAAAGCAUUCUUGGAGCGUAAUAAGUUUGGGAAUCUUCCAUACGGAUUCAGAGCCAACACAUGGCUUAUACCACCUGUGGCAGCACAGUUG